UUGAUGUCUUGUACUCAGAAUAUGGC
rnacentral:piRNA from 1 species